GCAUUGGUGGUUCAAUGGUAGAAUUCUCGCCUGCCACGCGGGAGGUCUGGGUUCGAUUCCCGGCCAAUGCA
rnacentral:tRNA from 1 species